UCUGGUGGAUGGCUAGGCUUGAGGGGCGAUGAAGGGCGUGGCAAGCUGCGAUAAGCCCUGGGUAGGCGCAAGCAGCCUUUGAUCCAGGGAUACCCGAAUGGGACUUCCUAUCGAAUUACCGCAAGGUAAUUCGAUGAUCCUUUUAGGAUUGCGAACCCUCCGAAAGGAAACAUCUGAGUAGGAGGAGGAAAAGAAAUCAAAUUGAGAUCUCCUUAGUAGCGGCGAGCGAAAAGGAGUUAGCCCAAACCGAAUCUAGCUUAGCAAUAGGCUAGAGAUGUGGUUUGAUGGCGUUUAAGUAGCCUCUAUCUUUAGCCGAAGUGGUCUGGAAAGGCCCAACGUAGAGGGUGAUAUUCCCGUAGGCGAAAAGGAUGGAGGUUACUGCCAUCAAGAAGAGUACCUGGCCUUGGCAGUGGCUAGGGAAGACGGGGGAAAGAGGCCUCCAAGGCUAAAUACCUCUCAAGACCGAUAGCGCAAUAGUACCGUGAGGGAAAGCUGAAAAGAACCCCGGAAGGGGGGUGAAAAGAGCCUGAAACCAGAUGGUUACAGACGUGUAUCGCCCGAAAGAGGCUAUCGAUCUGCUGAUUGCUGUUCGAAAGAAUGGCAUGAAGUGGAUCUAAUUGCCUCAGGGUGAUACGUUCCGUCUAGAAACACGGGCCAGGGAGUUUACCUUCAUGGCGAGCUUAAGGGUUAAAGCCCGAAGGCGAAGGGAAACCGACUUUCCGCAGCCAUGUUUUCAUGGUGAGGGAAGAGGUCCGAAAGGGCCUUUAGUCAUGAGGGUAAGACUAGAAACCGGACGAUCGUGCCCUGGGCAGGACGAAGCUGGGCGAAAGCCUGGUGGAGGUCCGAAAGGGUCCUGACGUGCAAAUCGGUCCCCUGACCUGGGGCAAGGGGCCAAAAGCCAAUCUAGUCCGGUGAUAGCUAGUUCCCAUCGAAGCGGAUCUAAGUCCGGCCUGGGUGGAUGCUGCCAGCGCUGUAGAGCACCGAUGAGUGGGCAAGGGUCCGAAAGGGCCCACCUGCUUUUCGAACUCCGAAGGUGCUGGUGCAUUAGAAGCCCAGAGACGGGUUUAUGUGGGGUAAGCCUCAUAACCGAGAGGGGGACAACCCAGACUAGAGUUAAGGUCCCAAAAUGUCGGCUAAGUGUCAAACAAAAGAGCGUCCUUGAGCUCAGACAGCAGGGAGGUAGGCUUAGAAGCAGCCAUCCUUUAAAGAGUGCGUAACAGCUCACCUGCCGAGCUUGGGGGCCUCGAAAAUGGACGGGGCUAAAGCCGACUACCGAUACUCUAGACCAUGAGCAUUGCUCAUGCGUGGUAGGUGGGCGUAGAGGCUGGGCAGAAGCAGGGCUGUGAAGUCCUGUGGACUGGCUUCUAUUGCAGAUCCUGGCGGUAGUAGCAGCGUAGUCGGGCGGGAAUCCCGACCACCGAAAGGGCAAGGUUUUCCUGGCAAUGCGUCGUCAGCCAGGAGUCAGCCGGUCCUAAGCUCAACCCCAAAGGAGUUGAGCGAAAGGGAAACUGGUUAAUAUUCCAGUGCCUUGAAGAUGUCGUGCGCGAAAGCGCAUACCCAGUCCUGAUUCUUCCAGAUAGGGUGAGCAAGGUUAUCGCCUUGUUUAAUCGUCCAAGAUCAUGGGAGUGUCGUAAUGACGAGAACUUGAUCGAGGCGAGAAUAGCCAGCCAUUUGGUUGGUUCGCUCGAUUCUGGGAGACCAUGAAAACAGGGUUGGGAAGGCAUCUUUAAGUCCGUACCGAGAACCGACACAGGUGCCCUAGGUGAGAAGCCUAAGGUGUAUCGGGUGUAAAGUAGGCGAGGGAACUAGGCAAAUUAGCCCCGUAACUUAGGGAUAAGGGGUGCCUGCAGUCUUAGCGAAAAGCUGGGAUUGCAGGUCGCAGUGACUAGGGGGUCCCGACUGUUUAAUAAAAACACAGGAGGCUGCAAAUCCGAAAGGACUAGUACAGCCUCUGAAUCCUGGCCAGUGGCGGUACCUAAAACCUGGGUACAACUGGGCUAAGGGCCGCUUAACGCCGGGAGUAACUCUGACUCUCUUAAGGUAGCCAAAUGCCUUGUCGGGUGAGUUCCGACGUGCAUGAAUGGAUCAACGAGGGCCCCGCUGUCCCCGCCUACAACCCGGCGAACCCACAUAACGUGGACGAACAGUCCACGAACCCCCAUCGGGAAAAGAAGUCCCUGUGGAGCUUUACUGCAGCUUGUCGUUGCGAUGCGGUUGUGGUUGCAGAGAGUAGCUGGGAGCCAGUGAAGGCACUUUUCUGGAAGUGCUAAAGGCGAAAGUGUAACACCAGCCUUCUAUGACUGUGUCGCUAACCUAGAGAUAGGGACACCGGCAGGUGGGCAGUUCGGCUGGGGCGGCACCCCCUUGAAAAAGUAUCGAGGGGGCCCAAAGGUCGGCUCAGGUGGGUCAGAAAUCCACCGUGGAGGGCAAGGCCAAAAGCCGGCCUGACUGUAUCCUCAAACGCGAGGGAUAAAGAGGCGAAAGCCGGGCCUAGCGAUCCUUCAUGUCCCCACCUUUGGGGGCUGGAGGCGACAGAAAAGUUACCCCAGGGGUAACAGGCUCGUCGCGGGCGAGAGUUCCCAUCGACCCCGCGGUUUGGUACCUCGAUGUCGGCUCUUCCCAUCCUGGUCCUGCAGCAGGGGCCAAGGGCGGGGCUGCUCGCCCAUUAAAGGGGAACGUGAGCUGGGUUUAGACCGUCGUGAGACAGGUCGGUCUUUAUCUGAUGGGGGCGGAGGUCAUCUGAGGGGAAGUUGUCCUCAGUACGAGAGGAACGGGGCAACGCGGCCUCUGGUAUACCGGUUGUCCGAGAGGGCAGAGCCGGGCAGCUAAGCCGUUAGGAAUAAGAGCUGAAAGCAUCUAAGCUCGAAGUCCUUCCCGAGAAAAGAUGGCCUUCCACAGAGCCUCGAAAGAGG
rnacentral:rRNA from 1 species